rnacentral:rRNA from 1 species
GAUCAUGGCUCAGGAUGAACGCUGGCGGCGUGCCUAACACAUGCAAGUCGAACGGAGUUACUUUGGUGAAGUUUUCGGAUGGAUCCGAUUUAACUUAGUGGCGGACGGGUGAGUAAUGCGUGAGCAACCUGCCCUUCAGAGGGGGACAACAGUUGGAAACGACUGCUAAUACCGCAUAACGUAUUCGGAAGGCAUCUUCUGAAUACCAAAGGAGAAAUCCGCUGAGGGAUGGGCUCACGU